rnacentral:rRNA from 1 species
AGAACUAGUAACAAGAAAUUGACUUUCUCCCAAUGUAAGUGUAAAUCAGAAAGAACAUAUCACUGAUCAUUACUGCCAUGAUACAAGGGUAACAACUCCACUAGAAAACACUACCCACAAAGGCACUAACCUCACACAAGAACAUUACACGAAAGAUUAAAACACGGGGAAGGAACUCGGCAAACCUUAGUCUCGCCUGUUUACCAAAAACACCGCCUCUUGACCAAAAAUAAGAGGUCCCGCCUGCCCAGUGACCAAAUUCAACGGCCGCGGUACCCUAACCGUGCAAAGGUAGCACAAUCACUUGUUCCAUAAAUAGGGACUAGUAUGAACGGCAUCACGAAGACUAUACUGUCUCCCCCAUCCAAUCAGUGAAACUGAUCUUCCCGUGAAGAAGCGGGAAUCAAAAUAUAAGACGAGAAGACCCCAUGGAGCUUCAAACUAAGUACCACCCACCACCCAAAUAAACCACCACAACCCGCUGGAACUGGUUACUUGUUUUUGGUUGGGGUGACCACGGAGCAAAACACAACCUCCGCAAUGAAUGGGGCUAACCCCCUAACUUAAGACCCACAACUCAAUAAAUCAGAAUACUAACAUAAUUGACCCAAGCACAUUGAACAAUGAACCUAGUUACCCUGGGGAUAACAGCGCAAUCCAUU